GCCAAAAACCUAGCCCAACGAACAUGAAUUCCUCCAAGCUAACUAAACCCUCUUAACAAACCAUUUUGACAUUCUAGUAAAGGAGAUUGAAAAACUUAUUGGAGCUUUAAAGGUAGUACCGCAAGGGAAUGGUGAAAUAUUAUGAAAACUUCUAAGCAACAAAAAGUAAAGAUUACCUCUUGUACCUUUCGCAUCAUGGUUUAACUAGUUCAAUCAAGCAAAGAGUAUUUAAGUUUGACUUCCCGAAACUAAGUGAGCUACUUCAGGGCAGCUAGAAGAGCGAACCCGUCUCUGUAGCAAAAGAGUGGGACGACCCUUAAGUAGUGGUGACAGACCUAACGAACUUAGUGAUAGCUGGUUACUCAGGAAACGGAUUUAAGUCCAACCUGAAGGCCCUAAAAUCCAAGUACAUCAAAACAAUCAUUUGGCUUUCAACGUAAUUCAAAUAAGGUACAGCCUAUUUGAAACAGGAUACAACCUAGACCAAUGGAUAAGAUCAGCCUAGCAUACAAUCAAGUGGGCCUAAAAGCAGCCAUCUUAAGUAGAGCGUCAAAGCUAAUUUGUAACCGCGCCAAAUCUCUCAAUCUUCAUCUAAUCCUCAACCGAUACUGAGUAAUUCUAUAGCACUAUAGAAAUUUUUAUGUUAAAACUAGUAACAAGAAGAAGACUCUUCUCUUAAAUGUGUGUGUAGAUCAGAAAAGACAAGCUACUGAUACUUAACACCCUUGAGCUCAAAGUAACAACUAACCAAGAAAACCCUACUUUCAUUAGUGUUAAUCUAACACAAGAACAUUCCGAGAAAGAUUGAAAGAAAAAGAAGGAACUCGGCAAAUAUUAACCUCGCCUGUUUACCAAAAACAUCGCCUCUUGAAUUACUAUGAGAGGUCCAGCCUGCCCAGUGACCCUGUUCAACGGCCGCGGUAUCCUAACCGUGCGAAGGUAGCGUMAUCACNUGUUCUCUAAAUGCGGACUAGUAUGAAUGGCAUCACGAAGGUUAUUCUGUCUCCUUUUUCUAAUCAGUGAAACUAAUC
rnacentral:rRNA from 1 species